rnacentral:rRNA from 1 species
CGCUGGCGGCGUGCCUAACACAUGCAAGUCAACUUGACUGAAGGAGCAAUCUGACAGUAGAGUGGCGCAAGGGUGCGUAACGCGUAAGUAACUUGCCCCAAGGUAAGGAAUAACGUCGAGAAAUCGGCGCUAAUACCUCAUAAUGCAGCGGAUCCGCAUGGAUAUGUUGUUAAAGGUUUACCGCCUUGGGAUAGGCUUGCGUCUGAUUAGCUAGUUGGUGUGGUAACGGCACACCAAGGCUACGAUCAGUAACUGGUCUGAGAGGAUUAUCAGUCACACUGGAACUGAGACACGGUCCAGACUCCUACGGGAGGCAGCAGUGAGGAAUAUUGGGCAAUGCUCGAAAGAGUGACCCAGCAACGCCGCGUGGAGGAUGAAGGUAUUCUAUAUCGUAAACUCCUGUGAGAGCAGACGAAAGACAGAUUAUUAAUCUGGAUGACUGUAUGCUCAGAGGAAGCCCCGGCUAACUACGUG